UACCACAGCCUGCCCCAGAAAAAAGGCAGUAGAGCUGGGUCUUCCAAGCUGCCUAGAGAAGCUGCAGAGGGAGACAGUCAAUCAGAGCCUAACAGGCUCAUAUAAAAGGAGCUGCAGGGCCUGGACAGUUGUUGGCUGGAGCCCGAGGAAGAAGGAUGCUGUUCCUGGCUGGCUGAGGAAGCUGCAGCAGCUGGGCAGAGCAGUUGCUGGUUGCGACCAGAAGGAGUGGAAGGCUGGGAGACAAUACAGGCACUAGGGAGAAACCCUGCCUAAGCAGGAGUAGGACUGUGAAGCUCCCCAGGCACAGAGGCCUGGGAGAGAGAGAGCUUUGACAAGAAUGGCCAGAGACUGUUAUAAGCUCUCCAGGUGAAGGGGCCUGCGAGAACAGGGCAGAGACUGUUACAGACUCUCCAGGCAAAGAGGCCUGGGAGAGACCCUGCUUAAACAGGGAGCAGGUCGAGGACCCCAGAAGCUGAUUGGACAGAGUGGGAAGCAGCCCAGGAAAUGCAACAAUAGAUGCUAGUGAUGGAAGCGGCAGUUGGCUGCUACUCGUAGGGUCCCUGGGUUGUGACCCGGAGUUGUGGGCAGGCCUGGGUCCCCCCACUGGUCACAGACAGAGUGGCCAAGGGCGAAGGAGGCAAAAAGUUUUGUUUGGAAAGCAAGAAGGGGGCAGGUGCUUAAACAAGCCCAGAGACAGGCCUGAGAACCUUAGGGAGGGGCUGACUGUUUGUUUGACUGUUACCCCAGUAGGGGUUGUUUUCCAUCCAUUUCACAUACAGACUGUGUGUGACUCGGCUUCAGGGCUGAGUCACUGAAAGCCCAUCUGAAAAGAGAAACUACCAGCAGAAAGCACCACAAAAGCAGAGAGUGCAGGCCCGUACGCAGCCAGCAGGAGGCGCUCGCGGGAGGCAGUGGGAAUAAAUUGUGGCCGGGCUGGAAAGCCAUGUUGUGAGAAGAGGCUGACCACUGUGAGACCAGAAUGACCGUCAGCAAGGGGUGCAUGACAGAGCUGCUACGCUGCGCCUGGCCAGGAGGGGGCACCCCAGCGCUGCAGACAACCAGUCCUCAAAUGACAGACAAAUGCAACUUAACUCUCACAGACCUACCUGAAUUUACACAAUUCUCAGGAUACGUGAGGGUUACAAUAUUUGUUGCAAUCGCAUGAAAUAGAAGUGUCAGAAGUCAGCAGUGAUAUGUGAUGUCAAGCCACGUCCUCGUCUAAGAGAAGGAGAGAGGUGAACUGGGCUAACCAAUGGGAUAAUCCCCUAUUCCUGUCAUGCAAUUUUAAAACAGGCUGCCCCAAACAACAGAGCAUUGAAUAUUAUAACAACACACAAAGAACAGCAAAGGGAGAGAAAAAUUAAGAGGCACAAACAAGGGAGAAAACAUCUUGCUGAGAUUUGCUAUAGAAUGCUGCUGAGACAGCAAGGAGGUACGAAGGCCACUACAGAUAUUAGGAGUGGCAGAGGAGAAUACUCUUUCACCAGCAAUGGCCAGAUUGUGUCAAGGGACAGAAAUAACGUGACUGGAGGGUGGAGAAGACCUGGAGGGGAGUGGUAAGAUGAAAUCUGUGUGAUAAGAAAGGGGGAAGUC